AUCAAUAAGCGGAGGAAAAGAAACCAACAGGGAUUGCCCCAGUAACGGCGAGUGAAGCGGCAACAGCUCAAAUUUGAAAUCUGGCCCCUCGGGGUCCGAGUUGUAAUUUGUAGAGGAUGCUUUUGGUGAGGUGCCGCCCGAGUUCCCUGGAACGGGACGCCACAGAGGGUGAGAGCCCCGUCUGGCUGGCCGCCGAGCCUCUGUAAAGCUCCUUCGACGAGUCGAGUAGUUUGGGAAUGCUGCUCAAAAUGGGAGGUAUAUGUCUUCUAAAGCUAAAUAUUGGCCAGAGACCGAUAGCGCACAAGUAGAGUGAUCGAAAGAUGAAAAGCACCUUGAAAAGAGGGUUAAAUAGUACGUGAAAUUGUUGAAAGGGAAGCGCUUGUGACCAGACUUGGGCGCGGCGGAUCAUCCGGGGUUCUCUCCGGUGCACUUCGCCGCGUCUGGGCCAGCAUCAGUUCGUCGCGGGGGAAAAAGGCUUCGGGAACGUGGCUCCUCCGGGAGUGUUAUAGCCCGUUGCAUAAUACCCUGCGGUGGACUGAGGACCGCGCAUCUGCAAGGAUGCUGGCGUAAUGGUCACCAGCGACCCGUCUUGAAACACGGACCAAGGAGUCGUCUUCGUAUGCGAGUGUUCGGGUGUCAAACCCCUACGCGUAAUGAAAGUGAACGCAGGUGAGAGCUUCGGCGCAUCAUCGACCGAUCCUGAUGUUCUCGGAUGGAUUUGAGUAAGAGCAUACGGGGCCGGACCCGAAAGAAGGUGAACUAUGCCUGUAUAGGGUGAAGCCAGAGGAAACUCUGGUGGAGGCUCGCAGCGGUUCUGACGUGCAAAUCGAUCGUCAAAUAUGGGCAUGGGGGCGAAAGACUAAUCGAACCUUCUAGUAGCUGGUUUCC
rnacentral:rRNA from 1 species